ACAGAAGGGAGCUUGCUCCCGGACGUUAGCGGCGGACGGGUGUUUAACACGUGGGCAACCUGCCCCUUAGACUGGGAUAACUCCUGGAAACCGGAGCUAAUACCGGAUAAUCCCUUUCUCCACCUGGAGAGAGGGUGAAAGAUGGCUUCGGCUAUCACUAGGGGAUGGGCCCGCGGCGCAUUAGCUAGUUGGUAAGGUAACGGCUUACCAAGGCGACGAUGCGUAGCCGACCUGAGAGGGUGAUCGGCCACACUGGGACUGAGACACGGCCCAGACUCCUACGGGAGGCAGCAGUAGGGAAUCUUCCGCAAUGGACGAAAGUCUGACGGAGCAACGCCGCGUGAGUGAGGAAGGCCUUCGGGUCGUGAAAGCUCUGUUGUGAGGGAAGAAGCGGUACCGUUCGAAUAGGGCGGUACCUUGACGGUACCUCACCAGAAAGCCACGGCUAACUACGUGCCAGCAGCCGCGGUAAUACGUAGGUGGCAAGCGUUGUCCGGAAUUAUUGGGCGUAAAGCGCGCGCAGGCGGCUUCUUAAGUCUGAUGUGAAAUCUCGGGGCUCAACCCCGAGCGGCCAUUGGAAACUGGGGAGCUUGAGUGCAGAAGAGGAGAGUGGAAUUCCACGUGUAGCGGUGAAAUGCGUAGAGAUGUGGAGGAACACCAGUGGCGAAGGCGACUCUCUGGUCUGUAACUGACGCUGAGGCGCGAAAGCGUGGGGA
rnacentral:rRNA from 2 species